GCACAUCUAGCCCACUUGGUGGGGCACAAGGCUUCAGACCUUGUGGUCAUGGGUUCAAGCCCCACUGUUUGCA
rfam:Zea mays cultivar B73 chromosome 4, whole genome shotgun sequence.